GCACAGCGACACACAGAGAGAUGAGAACACAAUUUUUAGAUCUUGAAGAGAAAAUAUGCUCGUGAGAAAUAGAAGAAGAAAUAAAAAGAGGUGUCAGUGGAGACUGGUGUGGCACAUGGAAGCUUCGGGGUGUAAUUUAAUGUCUGCUAAUAAGUAAUUAGCAAAUAGUAGUGAAGGAGUUGAGGGGUCAAAAAGGGAAAGAGAUUAGUGAUGAGUACAAAGAAGGAAGACAAUUUUUAUGUUUAUAUAAUAAUUUUUU
rnacentral:misc_RNA from 1 species